rnacentral:rRNA from 1 species
CCAAUAGCGUAUAUUAAAGUUGUUGCAGUUAAAAAGCUCGUAGUUGAAUUUCGGGAUCAAUUUGCUGGUCGUGCCUUCGGUACGCACUGGUAUUAUUGGUUUCUCCUUUCUGAUGAAUCACGAUGUCAUUAAUUUGGUGUCGUGGGGAAUCAGGACUGUUACUUUGAAAAAAUUAGAGUGUUUAAAGCAGGCUCACGCUUGAAUACAUUAGCAUGGAAUAAUGAAAUAGGACGUUUGAUUCUAUUUUGUUGGUUUCUAGGAUCGACGUAAUGAUUAAUAGGGAUAGUUGGGGGCAUUAGUAUUCAAUUGUCAGAGGUGAAAUUCUUGGAUUUAUUGAAGACUAACUACUGCGAAAGCAUUUGCCAAGGAUGUUUUCAUUAAUCAAGAACGAAAGUUAGGGGAUCGAAGACGAUCAGAUACCGUCGUAGUCUUAACCAUAAACUAUGCCGACUAGGGAUCGGAUGAUGUUAAUUUUUUAAUGACUCAUUCGGCGCCUUACG